rnacentral:tRNA from 1 species
UAUUAAAAUUUAAGUUUUAAUAAUUUAUUUAAAAUAUUGAUCUUGUAAAUCAAAAAUAAGAAUUUCUUUUAAAACU